ACUCCUACGGGAGGCAGCAGUGGGGAAUAUUGCACAAUGGGCGCAAGCCUGAUGCAGCCAUGCCGCGUGUGUGAAGAAGGCCUUCGGGUUGUAAAGCACUUUCAGUCGUGAGGAAGGUGGUAGUGUUAAUAGCACUAUCAUUUGACGUUAGCGACAGAAGAAGCACCGGCUAACUACGUGCCAGCAGCCGCGGUAAUACGUAGGGUGCAAGCGUUGUCCGGAAUUAUUGGGCGUAAAGAGCUCGUAGGCGGUUUGUCACGUCUGCUGUGAAAAUCCAAGGCUCAACCUUGGACUUGCAGUGGGUACGGGCAGGCUAGAGUGCGGUAGGGGAGAUGGGAAUUCCUGGUGUAGCGGUGGAAUGCGCAGAUAUCAGGAGGAACACCAAUGGCGAAGGCACAUCUCUGGGCCGUAACUGACGCUGAGGAGCGAAAGCGUGGGGAGCGAACAGGAUUAGAUACCCUGGUAGGUCAGU
rnacentral:rRNA from 1 species